CUACGGGCGGCUGCAGUUAGGGAUCUUUUACAAUGCACGAAAGUGUGAUAAAGCGAGCCAGAGUGUUUCUCAUAUUUGAGAAACUUUUGUUUGUUGUAAAAAGACAGACGAAUAAGGACUGGGAGAGACUGGUGCCAGCCGCCGCGGUAAUCCCAGCGGUCCAAGUUGCAGCCUCAAUUAUUGGGUCUAAAACAUCCGUAGCUUGUUUUGUAAGUUUUUUGUGAAAUCUCGCCUCUUAAGGGCGAGGCGCGCAGAAAGUACUGCAGAACUAGAGACUGGAAGAAGCGAGAAGUAUGGCUGAGGUAGUGGUAAAAUAUGUUAAUCUUGGCUAGACUAACAAUUGCGAAGGCAUCUCGCUAGUACAGUUCUGACAGUGAGGGAUGAAGGCUAGGGUCGCAAAACGGAUUAGAUACCCUUGUAGUC
rnacentral:rRNA from 1 species